UACGGAGGGCGCUAGCGUUGUUCGGAUAUACUGGGCGUAAAGCGCACGUAGGCGGCGCAGCAAGUCAGGGGUGAAAUCCCGGAGCUCAACUCCGGAACUGCCUUUGAAACUGCAGUGCUAGAAUCCUGGAGAGGCGAGUGGAAUUCCGAGUGUAGAGGUGAAAUUCGUAGAUAUUCGGAAGAACACCAGUGGCGAAGGCGACUCGCUGGACAGGUAUUGACGCUGAGGUGCGAAAGCGUGGGGAGCAAACAGG
rnacentral:rRNA from 1 species